GUCACGCGAACGGCAACGGCUAUCGGUGAGUACCCUCAUCCACUGGCCUACCCCCAUAACGGGAUAGUUAUGAGGGCUGUUUGCGGGUUCCGUCAGGUGCGCCGCUCAGGCGUUACUCGGGCUCGACACUGCGUUACCUCGCAGGGCGACCGAUACACGGGUUUCGUGAUCGAUGUUCCGGUGUGGUUACCCCGGCGCGAUCCGGCCAGUG
rfam:Luminiphilus syltensis NOR51-B scf_1109846220923 genomic scaffold, whole genome shotgun sequence.